ACGGAGGGUGCAAGCGUUAUUCGGAAUCACUGGGCGUAAAGCGCGUGUAGGCGGUCCUGCAAGUCUGAUGUGAAAGCCCCGGGCUUAACCCGGGAAGUGCAUUGGAAACUGUGGGUCUUGAGUACUGGAGAGGUUGGGGGAAUUCCCGGUGUAGAGGUGAAAUGCGUAGAUAUCGCGAGGAAUAUCGAUGGCGAAGGCGGCCAACUGGAUUGUAACUGACGCUGAUGCGCGAAAGCGUGGGGAGCAAACAG
rnacentral:rRNA from 1 species